rnacentral:sRNA from 1 species
AGCAAAGAAAAGAAAAACAAACAAAAAA